AAGCAGUAACAGCGGGUGUUUUCAACAGGAAUGGUAGCAGCUGUUUGUACUGUGUUUUCGGUAAUCUUGUUGUUUGUUCUGGUGCUUGACCGUCGAUGAUGGUGCUUUGUGGACACCUGCAGGGGUUGGCAGUUUGGCUGAGAUCUAGGAUCUUCACCAUACGUGCUCUGCUUUUCCACUUUGGCCACCUUGGUGGCUUUUUCACUGUUUCCACCCUGUCUCUUUCUGCCUAAGACAGUCCUGAGCUGACUCUCUCCAUGAGUUGCAGAGCAGUGUUGUGUGUGGGGGGUAAUUUUCCAGAAAAAGGGUGACAUAGAGACAGAGGAGAACACCCCAGGCUUCACAUCCCUGAUGGCUUUUGCAGUACCUUGGCCUGUGUGACUGCCCACCUCCAUCUUCUUCUGCCUUCACAACGAUGCUGGCGCCUUCCUAUGCGAAGUGAUCACAACCAGCAAGAUCUACCUCAGGAGCAGAAGUUGAGGCAAACCUUCGAGGAACAAGGACAACUGAUUGGGAGUAAGGUCUAUGACCUGGUUGCUUAUGGCUUCCUGCAAUUGCUUUCCCGAAUGAGCCAUGUGGGAGCGAUCUGGACACAGGAGAGUGUGGUAGCUGCUCUGCAGCACGCGGCAAAGCUGCCCUGAAACCCCGGCCCUGCCGGGAAGCAGAGGAGCACAGCGGUCAAGAAAAGAAACACCAAGAA